GGCAGAAUAGCUCAGUUGGAUACCUUCGGGUUAGAAAGGUCGCAGGUUCGAAUCCUGCUUCAGCCA